GCGUGAGGGAUGACGGCCUUCGGGUUGUAAACCUCUUUCAGCAGGGACGAAGCGAGAGNGACGGUACCUGCAGAAGAAGCACCGGCCAACUACGUGCCAGCAGCCGCGGUAAUACGUAGGGUGCAAGCGUUGUCCGGAAUUACUNGGCGUAAAGAGCUCGUAGGCGGUUUGUCGCGUCGUCUGUGAAAACUCGAGGCUCAACCUCGAGCNUGCAGGCGAUACGGGCAGACUUGAGUACUGCAGGGGAGACUGGAAUUCCUGGUGUAGCGGUGAAAUGCGCAGAUAUCAGGAGGAACACCGGUGGCGAAGGCGGGUCUCUGGGCAGUAACUGACGCUGAGGAGCGANAGCGUGGGUAGCGAACAGGAUUAGAUACCCUGGUAGUCCACGCCGUAAACGGUGGGCGCUAGGUGUGGGUUUCCUUCCACGGGAUCCGUGCCGUACUAAUGCAUUAAGCGCCCCGCCUGGGGAGUACGGCCGCAAGGCUAAAACUCAAAGGAAUUGACGGGGGCCCGCACAAGCGGCGGAGCAUGUGGAUUAAUUCGAUGCAACGCGAAGAACC
rnacentral:rRNA from 1 species